GAUUAACGCUGGCGGCAUGCCUAAUACAUGCAAGUCGAAUGGUUAGCUUGCUAACCAUGGCGAACGGGUGAGUAACACGUAGGUAACCUGUCUUCAAGACGAGGAUAACCAUUGGAAACGAUGGAUAAUACUGGAUAGGACAAAUCCCCGCAUGAGGAGAUGUUUAAAGGAGCAAUCCACUUGAUGAGGGGCCUGCGGUGCAUUAGCUAGUUGGUGAGGUAAAGGCCCACCAAGGCGAUGAUGCAUAGCCGGACUGAGAGGUUGAACGGCCACAAUGGAACUGAGAACGGUCCAUACUCC
rnacentral:rRNA from 1 species